rnacentral:rRNA from 1 species
AACGAACGCUGGCGGCAGGCCUAACACAUGCAAGUCGAGCGCCCCGCAAGGGGAGCGGCGGACGGGUGAGUAACGCGUGGGAACGUACCCUUUGCUACGGAAUAGCCUCGGGAAACUGGGAGUAAUACCGUAUGUGUCCCUCGGGAGAAAGAUUUAUCGGCAAGGGAUCGGCCCGCGUUGGAUUAGGUAGUUGGUGGGGUAAUGGCCUACCAAGCCGACGAUCCAUAGCUGGUUUGAGAGGAUGAUCAGCCACACUGGGACUGAGACACGGCCCAGACUCCUACGGGAGGCAGCAGUGGGGAAUCUUAGACAAUGGGCGCAAGCCUGAUCUAGCCAUGCCGCGUGAGCGAUGAAGGCCUUAGGGUUGUAAAGCUCUUUCAGGGGGGAAGAUAAUGACUGUACCCCCAGAAGAAGCCCCGGCUAACUCCGUG